AACGUACGCUGGCGGCACGCCUAACACAUGCAAGUCGAACGAAGUAGCAAUACUUAGUGGCAGACGGGUGAGUAACAUGUAGGUAUCUGCCCUUUGGCCUGGAAUAACACGAGGAAACUUGUGCUAAUACCGGAUAAGUCUUUACAGAGAAAGCUUUAUGCACCAUUGGAUGAGCCUGCACUUGAUUAGUUUGUUGGUGGGGUAAUGGCCUACCAAGACUGUGAUCAAUAGCUGAUUUGAGAGGAUGAUCAGCCACAUUGGGACUGAGACACGGCCCAAACUCCUACGGGAGGCAGCAGUGGGGAAUCUUGCACAAUGGAGGAAACUCUGAUGCAGCGAUGCCGCGUGAGUGAAGAAGGCCCUUGGGUUGUAAAGCUCUUUCGUCGGGGAAGAAAAUGACUGUACCCGAAUAAGAAGGUCCGGCUAACUUCGUGCCAGCAGCCGCGGUAAUACGAAGGGACCUAGCGUAGUUCGGAAUUACUGGGCUUAAAGAGUUCGUAGGUGGUUGAAAAAGUUAGUGGUGAAAUCCCAGAGCUUAACUCUGGAACUGCCAUUAAAACUUUUCAGCUAGAGUAUGAUAGAGGAAAGCAGAAUUUCUAGUGUAGAGGUGAAAUUCGUAGAUAUUAGAAAGAGUACCAAUUGCGAAGGCAGCUUUCUGGAUCAUUACUGACACUGAGGAACGAAAGCAUGGGUAGCGAAGAGGAUUAGAUACCCUCGUAGUCCAUGCCGUAAACGAUGUGUGUUAGACGUUGGAAAUUUAUUUUCAGUGUCGCAGGGAAACCGAUAAACACACCGCCUGGGGAGUACGACCGCAAGGUUAAAACUCAAAUGAAUUGACGGGGACCCGCACAAGUAGUGGAGCAUGUGGUUUAAUUCGAAGAUACGCGCAGAACCUUACCAACACUUGACAUGUUCGUCGCGACUCUAAGAGAUUAGAGUUUUCGGUUCGGCCGGACGAAACACAGGUGCUGCAUGGCUGUCGUCAGCUCGUGUCGUGAGAUGUUGGGUUAAGUCCCGCAACGAGCGCAACCCUCACUUUUAGUUGCCAUCAUUAAGUUGGGCACUCUGAAAGAACUGCCAGUGAUAAGCUGGAGGAAGGUGGGGAUGACGUCAAGUCCUCAUGGCCCUUACGUGUUGGGCUACACACGUGCUACAAUGGUAUCUACAACAGGAAGCAAAACUGCGAAGUUAAGCAAAUCCCUAAAAGAUACCUCAGUUCGGAUUGCACUCUGCAACUCGAGUGCAUGAAGCUGGAAUUACUAGUAAUCGUGGAUCAGCGUGCCACGGUGAAUGCGUUCCCGGGUCU
rnacentral:rRNA from 1 species